GAUUGUCAGUCUUCGGGUGAUCUCGUGGAAGUUUCGGGCGCUAAUGACUCCGCUGGCUCCCAUACAUUAAUCAUUCUAAUAUGGUUUCUCAACAACUGGCCGUUUCGAAGGAAGUUAUAAGAAAGCCGCCAGGCGAUUUAAAAUGGAGAGGAUAUAUGUAUGAACGCCGUUCUCAAGUGCACGUUGUUCAGACUUUAAUAAUCACUU